GAGGGAGGGAAUCGGCUCUUAGCCGAUUCAUAUUCAACAGGACCGGGGAAUGGGUUCUUGUUCCAUGCCCUGAAUCCCAAGAAGCCCUUGUCCUGGACCCUGUAAUGCCCGGGGUCUUCCUGAGAAAUGCUGGUGCCACUGGAGCACAGCCCGGCCCCCUCCAGUUUCUCCACUUUGUAACUGCACUUGUGUUCAGCAGGUCUUCCAGGACUUAGACGCUGCUUGAUGUGAGCCAGGUUUUGUGUGGAAAGAGGACAGGUCCGAGCCAGCAACCAAGAAGCCCAGGACCAUCUUUCAUGCUUCCAGAUUCUGUGUCCAAAAACUUACCUGUGGACAUUGAGGCUGAUGCAUUUCUGCUCCAAGACGUCUGUGGACUCAGCUGGAGGGAUGGAAAGGAUGUGGGGCCUCUUCACUCCUGGCCUGGGCUUGGACCUGCUGUGCAGCCUGUCAGUGGCACCAGGGCCCCCUUGUGUCACAGCGGUCUCGGGUUGGUGGCACUGCCUCAGGAUGUCCCAGGCUUCAUGAUGUCCAGGCUCCCCUGGCAUGGCGACCUCAGAUUUCUUUGCAUCUUCUCCCUUAUCCAGAAGGUGAGGUGAACGCUGAGUUGUUCACGGAAGUCAAGAAACCACACGCAGC
rnacentral:lncRNA from 1 species